rnacentral:rRNA from 1 species
CCUACGGGCGGCAGCAGUGGGGAAUAUUGGACAAUGGGGGCAACCCUGAUCCAGCCAUGCCGCGUGUGUGAAGAAGGCCCUCGGGUUGUAAAGCACUUUCAGUGAGGAAGAACGCCUGGUGGUUAAUACCCAUCAGGAAAGACAUCACUCACAGAAGAAGCACCGGCUAACUCCGUGCCAGCAGCUGCGGUAAUACGGAGGGUGCGAGCGUUAAUCGGAAUUACUGGGCGUAAAGCGCGCGUAGGUGGCUUGAUAAGCCGGUUGUGAAAGCCCCGGGCUCAACCUGGGAACGGCAUCCGGAACUGUCAAGCUAGAGUGCAGGAGAGGAAGGUAGAAUUCCCGGUGUAGCGGUGAAAUGCGUAGAGAUCGGGAGGAAUACCAGUGGCGAAGGCGGCCUUCUGGACUGACACUGACACUGAGGUGCGAAAGCGUGGGUAGCAAACAGGAUUAGAUACCCCAGUAGUC